AAGUCUCAUCAACUAAAGAACACCUGAUAUGCUGUGGACAUGACCAUAAAGAAAAAUUCCCAUUAGGUUUUUCAUAUACUACUUGACUAGCAGUUAACCUGUUGGGAACAUUU